UUUUCAUUAUGCACACGCAUGUCUGUUGCUGUUAUGACAAAUUCCGGUUCGUGUACAGUUAUAUGCUGUAACGGUAGCGUGACAUUUUUUUAUUGUAAGGAGUGGCCGAUGUAGCCGACACUAGCUAGCUUUACUAACGCGCUGGCUAGCUGCUCCAGACAGCUUUGUGGCGGGGUGCCGUGUGUAACGGGCUUACCAAAGAUCUUUGCUUUCAUAGGUGCCGUCAGCCUCAGCUAAGAAGACGAUUAUUGAGACAGAUAAUAAUAUUUCGACGUCGCGAUUUUUCAUGUUAGCCUGAAAGCUUUUUGAGUUACUGCUGGGAAUAACGUCGCCCUUCCCUUGCCACACAGACUCUUCGACAUAACAGCCUUUGACUGUCAAAUCCCCCCGAUUUCUGAUCCCUCAAUCCCCAAAAACAUUCAAAGUAUGGAUAGAACGGAGAAUAUUACUAUGGCCAAGCUGGCGGAGCAGGCUGAGCGCUACGAAGACAUGGCAGAAUUCAUGAAGAAAGUCACAGAGAUGGGAGUUGAGCUGUCAAACGAGGAGAGGAACCUGCUGUCCGUCGCCUACAAAAACGUGGUUGGGGCGAGGCGGUCCGCAUGGAGGGUGAUGUCCAGCAUCGGAUUGAAGACCGAGGGUUCUGAGAAGAAGCAGGAGACUGUCAAGGAGUACCGGGAGAAGGUGGAGAAGGAGCUGCAGGAGAUUUGCGAUAACGUUUUGAAACUGUUGGAUAAUCAUUUAAUUGGAAAUGCAUCAAAUUCUGAGAGCAAAGUCUUCUAUCUAAAGAUGAAGGGGGACUACUAUAGAUACCUUGCUGAAGUUGCCACUGGAGAGGCAAAAACAAAGACCAUUGAAAACUCACAGAUGGCAUAUGAUGAAGCGUUUAAAACCAGCGCGAAAGACAUGGAGCCCACACAUCCUAUCCGCCUGGGGUUGGCCCUCAACUUCUCUGUCUUUUACUACGAGAUCCUCAACUCCCCAGAAAAAGCCUGUGAACUGGCUAAGAAGCUUCAGCAUUCCCCUUUUGCUUUCAGGCGUUCGAUGAUGCCAUUGCUGAGCUGGACCAGCUAAAUGAGGAGUCCUACAAAGACAGCACUCUAAUCAUGCAGCUCCUCAGAGACAACCUGACUUUAUGGACAUCUGACAAUGCCCCUGAGGAAGGUGAAGGUGGAGACUGUGGAGAGGGCGGCGAGAAUGAGAAUUAAGACAACCCCUCGGCAUUGUGGGUCAUCUCUGAAAACAAGAAAAGGAAAAAAAAACUUUUUACACAUCCUUCAUUCCUUAUUGCUCCACUCAAACAUUCUACCAAUGAAACCCAUUGCUGAAAAAAAAAAAGUUGUGUAAGGAAAAAUGACAAAAUUAUGAUUUUCACAACGUAGAUUUGGAUAAGUGGUGAAAAGAGAAGCCCUCCAUUCCUAUGAUUUGUGUUUUGUCCUGGCCUUCUCAUUUGUGCAGUCUCAGCUGUAGAAAGUGAUUGCUAGCUUGACAUGAUCUCAGAAUCUGGGUUUGAUUAAGAGGCAGAUUUAUGUAUGCCCUAUUAUUGAACAAUAGGAAGCCUAAAUCCCAUCAACUAAGAAGGUUGAUUAAUUCAGGUGAGAAAUGUUGGAUACGAAAAUUUGCCGCCCCAUUACCUGUUAGUGUGUCUGUCUCUACACAAUUUUGUGGUACGGUUACAGCAGCUGAAGUUCAAUUACAAACAGAUAUUCCUACUUCAGGGAAAGCUAGUGCACUUUACAUGCUGGCAACAAAAUACAGCCAACUAGUGCCAAUUGGUUAAAUCCUCACUUUCUGCCCUGGUUAUGAUGCCACUCUUUCACUUAAGCAUGCCUGUUUGGGAUGGGGGGGAUUGGUAGAACUUGUCUGACCAAAUGCAGGGAUCCUUUUAACGGGAGGAAAAAAAUUCUGUCAUGCAUGCAGAUAUUACACUGGAAUGGGAACAAAUGCUGUAACACACAAGUCCAAGUGUCAAGUUUAGUCAUUUCAAUGCAGGUUUGUUCACACCCAACAAAAGGGUGAUUUGUUAGUCUGUUCAGUGAUUGUCAUUAGAGAUUUGGACCACUAUUUGUUUUGCUAUUCAUUCAAUUGUAGUCCCUAAAAGCCUUGUGGAACUGUUUGAAUCCCUGUGUAUCAGCUAUGUUAACAUGAAUAAAACAUUUUAUAAACCAA